rnacentral:rRNA from 1 species
GACGAACGCUGGCGGCGUGCUUAACACAUGCAAGUCGAACGAAGUGGCGGACGGGUGAGUAACGCGUAAUCAACCUGCCCUUCAGAGGGGGACAACAGUUGGAAACGACUGCUAAUACCGCAUACUGAAGGAGGGGAUUGCGUCUGAUUAGCUAGUUGGAGGGGGAACGGCCCACCAAGGCGAUGAUCAGUAGCCGGGCUGAGGGGAUGAACGGCCAAAUUGGGACUGAGACAAGGGCCAGACCUCUACGGGAGGGCGCAGUGGGGAAACUUCCGAAAUGGAGGAAAGUCUGACGGAGCAAAGCCGCGUGAGGGAUGACGGCCUUCGGGUUGUAAAGGUCUGUUAAUCGGGAAGCAGUACCGGAAUAGAAAGCCACGGCUAACUACGUGCCAGCAGCCGCGGUAAUUC